UACGUAGGGUGCAAGCGUUGUCCGGAAUUAUUGGGCGUAAAGAGCCCGUAGGCGGUUUGUUGCGUCGGCUGUGAAAACCUGAGGCUCAACCUCAGGCCUGCAGUCGAUACGAGCAGACUAGAGUGUUGCAGGGGAGACUGGAAUUCCUGGUGUAGCGGUGAAAUGCGCAGAUAUCAGGAGGAACACCGGUGGCGAAGGCGGGUCUCUGGGCAACAACUGACGCUGAGGAGCGAAAGCGUGGGGAGCGAACAGG
rnacentral:rRNA from 1 species